rnacentral:rRNA from 1 species
AUACGGAGGGUGCAAGCGUUGUUCGGAUUUAUUGGGCGUAAAGCGAGUGUAGGCGGUUUGACAAGUCGAAUGUGAAAUCCCGAGGCCCAACCUCGGAACUGCAUCCGAAACUGUCAGGCUAGAGUCCCGGAGAGGGUGGCGGAAUUCCCGGUGUAGGGGUGAAAUCCGUAGAUAUCGGGAGGAACACCAGUGGCGAAGGCGGCCACCUGGACGGUGACUGACGCUGAGACUCGAAAGUGUGGGUAGCAAACAGGAUUAGAAACCCCGGUAGUCC